CCAACUUUUGAGAUUACUUUACUUGACGCUCGGCCUUAUCGCGCGGCUAAUUCAUUGUCAGUUCGAAGUAACACGAGCUUGAUACCAGUCAAGCGAUGAAUUUCAUAAAACGGACGACUUGGCGGACAAUCGAAUUCUGAUAUAGCAUUGGAUUCGGGUAACGGAACAUCGGAGGUCCGAGGAAUGGCGAAAUGCGUGACCAAGAUGAACAAAGACGACCACAUCCUCAGGGGAGCAGUUUGCGGCGAGACUCAAGUUUUCUUAUUAUAAUUAAGGCUUCGGAUACUCGACGUCGAUGCGUCUCUCCCGAUGGUCGUGAAUGUCGGUUUUAACGUGUCAAAAACCAAGAGGAGAAACAGGAUACGAACGUCAUCCUACAUCCGACCACUUCCUUGAACCGACGUUUCGAAAUCGGCAAAAAUUUAUCGCCGAUCGUUAUUUGCGUGAAAGGAGAAAGAGGAGAAAAUAUUACGUACGAAUAACCGAAUAACGACCCGACUAUUCUUCGUCACUCUCAAGAUUCGCUCCGGAAGUUAUUCGACUCCGCAAACCUCAUGGCGCGUCAUCGAAUAUCUUUACAGCUCGGUACGACCACUCAACAAAUCAACAACAGCUACACUCACUCGUCAGUUUUAUCGGCACGAAAGGAAGAGACCGAAGCGUACGAAGGGGAGACUGUUUCCGGCGAUCACUUCACGUCGCUUGCACUCGGAAACGCUCGACGAUUCAUCAUCGAGUAAAUCAGUAGGUAGGCAGUAUUUUAAUAAAUAACAGUCAACGCGAAGAGGCUGCAGUAAUUGGGAUCCUCGGUGAAAGCGUUUUUCAGCAAGCCAACUUCCAGGGAAAUUCUUACGAUGUAUAAAUAUUACAGACGCAAAUAAAUUACACCAAUGAAAAUGCUUUAUCGA